AACGGACCUGCUGUAGCGUGUUGUAGCGCCAUCGCUAAACUGUCCUCCCUCGGGUCCUGGACUAUGUCACUUUAUCCUCGUUGUAGAAGUCCUGCAAACAUUGUGUUUGCUGGUAGUCUGUUGGCAUCUACAGUAGCACCAAUGCUUUUGACUUUCACCUUGACUGGGCCCCAUUUGUAAUGAUCUGAAGUAUUUAUCUGCAUUAUAUCUGAAUUUAAUCAGAACGAUACGAGCGAGCAGGAGCGUCUGUUUGUGGGCGGGGCUUGAGGGGAGAGGAGGAGCUGAGGGGAAAACUGGUUGGAGGGGUAGAGUUUACAUUCAAGAUUUCUCCCAAAAACUGGAACUUCCUCAGAUCCUGACUACACCACCUUUAA
rnacentral:lncRNA from 1 species